rnacentral:rRNA from 1 species
CCCUUAGAUGUUCUGGGCUGCACGCGCGCUACACUGACGCACGCAACAGGUGCCUGCUCCGAGAGGACUGGGUAAUCAUUUGAGUGUGCGUCGUGAUGGGGAUAGAAUAUUGUAAUUAUUACUCUUCAACGAGGAAUUCCUAGUAAGCGCCAGUCAGCAGCUUGCGCUGAUUACGUCCCUGCCCUUUGUACACACCGCCCGUCGCUCCUACCGAUUGGGUGUGCUGGUGAAAUGUUCGGAUCGGCCGUUUGUCGCGGUUUCCGCGGCUCGUGGCUGAGAAGUUCAUUAAACCCUCCCACCUAGAGGAAGGAGAAGUCGUAACA